AUUGGGGGGGACGCGGCAGAGGGCCGGCGCGCGGAGCGGAGCCCCGCCCCUUCGCUGCCAUCUUUGUUAAGGGAAGGGCGCUCGCGAGCGCUCGCCGCGGGCGCCAUCUUGGGAAGGGGCAGAUCCUCACACCUGUGGGCGGGCGGGGCCGCCGAGCCCGGGCUCCGCCUUCCACACGGCUGUGGCGGGGCGGUGUGCGGCAGCGCAAGGUCAUCAGGUGUAAGUGAUAAGCCUGAUGAGGUGAGGAGGAGCACCUGAUACAGGAAAGGUCACAGCAGGCCUGGAAUGCCAAUGCCAGCUGCGUACCAGGAGCUGUCCCUACUGCUCGCUGAUGCCGUGCUCCCAUGCCACCCUGGCCUGCUCUUCCUUUCCACCACUCACUGGUUGGGGCACCUUACGAUGCAACGGGCGG